rnacentral:lncRNA from 10 species
AAAAUUCGUUCUUUGGGGAGGUGUAGAAAUGAGAGAGAUGUAAAUAGCUACCAAAGGAGAAUUGACAAGUCUGAGCAGAAGAAGCACAGAUAUCAAAAGGCAAAGGAGGAGGAAGACUUGGAAAAACAAAAGGUAGCGACUAAGUUGUCUGAGUCUGAUCUGACAUGAACAAAACAAACCAAGGUAUGAGGGAUCUUCAAAAAGUUCAUGGAAAAAUGAAAUUAAACAAAAAAUAAGAAAUAUCAACUUUAUUUUUCAAUCUAAGCUCCAUCACGUUCAAGACACUUUUGUAAGCAAUGACACCGACAUUUCGUCCAUCCCUAAAGAAGUGAGGAUCCUGGGAAUUUAACCACAUCAAUGCAGCCUUUUUUACACUAUUAACUGAAGAAAAAUGGAUGCCCUUUACAGAUUUUUUAAAUUAGGGGGAAAAAAAAGUUGCAGCCAAAUCAGGACUAUAAGGUGGAUGCCUAUUUAACAUCGAAACUCUCAAACUUGCCCUUGUUUGAUGAGAGCACUGAGCAGGAGCAUUGUUGUUGUAGAGGACUCUCUCAUGAAGUUUCCCAGGCAUUUUUCUGCUAAAGCUUUGACUUUCUCAAAACACUCUCAUAAUGAGCAAGACAUUAUUGUUCUUUGGCCCUCCAGAAUAUUCCGAAGCAAAAUGCCUUGAGUAUCCCAAAACACCGUUGCCACGACCUUUGCUCUUGACCAGUCCAUUUUUGCUUCGAUUGGGCCCUUUCCACCUCUCAGUAGCCAUUGCUUUGAUUGUGUUUUGUAUUUAGGAUCAUACUGGUAAGGUCAUGUUUCAUCUCCUGUUAACAAUUCGAAGAAAUGCUUCAGAAUCUUGAUCUGCUUGUUUCAAAAUUCCAGUGAAAGCUCUGCUCUUGUCUGCAGCUGAUCUGGGCACAAUGGUUUUGAUACUCACUGACUGAAAAGUUUGCUCACUUUUAAUUUUUCAGCCAGAAUUGUGUAAGCUGAACCAAUUGAGAUGUCUAGGGUGUUGGCUAUUGUUUCUAUUGUUAACAAUUGGUCCUCUUCAAUUAGGGCACAAAUUUUUUUUCCUUGCAAAUUGUUGUGGGUGGUCUGCUGCUGCACGCUUCAUCUUCAACAUCACUAUUCCCUUCUUAAAACAAGCAGUCUAUUUGUAAAUUGCUGGUUUCUUUGGGGCUUUGUCCCCAGAAACUUUUCAAAAAGCAUCAGUGAUUUCACUGUUCUUCCACCCAAGCUUUACCAUCAAUAGAUGUUUGUUCUUAAUUUUAGCAGAACUCAUGUUGCUCUGAUAGAGACUCUUUGUAAACUAAUGUCUUAUCCUUCUUAGUAUCUCAAACUAUAUCCUGUUCAGAUACAUUAUAACAGGUUAGUAUGAGUUUAUUUUGGUGCAAAAAAGUUUUGAAGUCCAUGCACAGUUUUUUUCUUAAUAAACAUCUUCCGUGAAUCUUUGAAGACUCACAUAUAUGAGUUAAGGAGCCUGGCACAGAAGAGUGGGAGAACACCAAGAUAUUAGCAGAUAUGAUAGAAGGGCAUUGAACUUCCAAGGGAAAUCUGAAGAUAUCUAAGUUUCAGAGAGUAAAGAGGGCUCCAAAUGACUUUUGAGUUACAAAACAUUUGGAGAUAUGUAUGCAACUUUAUGCUUCAAAAAAAUUAAAA